rnacentral:rRNA from 1 species
UGGGGAAUAUUGCACAAUGGGCGAAAGCCUGAUGCAGCAACGCCGCGCGAGGGACGACGGCCUUCGGGUUGUAAACCUCUUUUAGCAAGGAAGAAGCGAAAGUGACGGUACUUGCAGAAAAAGCGCCGGCUAACUACGUGCCAGCAGCCGCGGUAAUACGUAGGGCGCAAGCGUUAUCCGGAAUUAUUGGGCGUAAAGAGCUCGUAGGCGGUUUGUCGCGUCUGCUGUGAAAGCCCGAGGCUCAACCUCGGGCCUGCAGUGGGUACGGGCAGACUAGAGUGCGGUAGGGGAGAUUGGAACUCCUGGUGUAGCGGUGGAAUGCGCAGAUAUCAGGAAGAACACCGAUGGCGAAGGCAGAUCUCUGGGCCGUAACUGACGCUGAGGAGCGAAACGGGUGGGGAGCAAACAGGCUUAGAUACCCUGGUAGUCCACCCCGUAAACGUUGGGAACUAGCUGUGGGGUCCAUUCCACGGAUUCCGUGACGCAGCUAACGCAUUAAGUUCCCCGCCUGGGGAGUACGGCCGCAAGGCUAAAACUUAAAUGAAUUGACGGGGUCAUAGCGUUUCCU